rnacentral:lncRNA from 1 species
GCACUCGAAGAGUAUGUUUUAUCUGCACCUGUUGGUUUAAAUGAGUCAGUAUUCUGCCCUGUGGCGGAAGGCCAUGUUGGACCGAGUCAUAUUCGAAAUGGCGUGAGACUGGGGUGGGACAAGUCAUGUUCGAAGUGGCGUAAGAUUGGUUGGGCCGAGUUAUAAGCGAAAUCCGUGGACGCUGUAUCUGUACACUUUAAGUGAAUUGGUUGUGUAUUUCUAACAGCUCGAAUUUUUAUGAUUAAUAGUUAGCACCAACGAUCUUACAAGUGGUAUCAGAACCAAAGGUCACGGGUUUGAUUUCCGCAUGUUGCAAAUGUGUCUAGAUGUUGGAGGGGGUAUUGUUGACUUAAAUAAGUCAGCAUCCUGCCCUGUGGCGGGAGGCCAUGUUGGGCCGUGGCGGGAGGCCAUGUUCGAAAUAGUGUGAGGCUGGGGUGGGCCAAAUCAUGUUCGAAGUGGCGUGAAACUGGUUGAGUCGAGUCACAAUCGAAACCCAUGGAUGCUGUAUCUGUACGUUUUAAGUGAAUUGAUUGCGUAUUUCUAACAGCUCGAGCUUUUGGGAUUAAUGGUUAACGCCAACAACCCGACAGACCAUCAUAUAAUUUAUCUCAAAUUUCUUUAAUCUACAAUGAAAACACCAAAAAUAGCAAUAAUUU